CAACACACUCAGUUUAGAACAAAAAGGUCCGCACACACAUUCUCUGCUCUAGAACCCUAGAAAUUGCGCGACAUAAUUACACCGGCGUUCAUCGUCUCCAUCCGAGUUCAGGCGCUCCAAAAGCUAUAAACCCUCGGUUUCGUCCCUACUUCUUCAAUCCCGACGUUUUUCCCGUACAUCUUGAUGGUCGUUGUUCUAUUUCGAGGGUUUCGAAGCUUGAGCUUAAUCAAUGGAUUGGGAGCUUAGUUUUUGAGUUGGUAAGCUUUGAUUGGUGUAAUACAUGGUGUAUUUGGUUGUUUUUUGGGUUAAUAUUGUGCUAUUGUGUAUAUAUGAAGAUUCCUGAUUUUGGUGUUCUUGAGGGCUACUGAUAUUAACCGUUUUUCUUGUGAUUUAUCUCUUAUGAUUUAAUUGAUUUGGUUUGCUUAUGAUUCGUUUAUGAUUUUUUUGAAUUGGUGUGCUUGACUUGCUUGUGAUUUGUAUCGGUGGCAUAUAGGGGUCUUUGUUUAGGGGACUUUUUAAUUAUGUGGAUUAUUUGUUUAGUUUGUUUCAGUUAUAUAAAUUAUUUGGGGCUUAUUAAUUAGGUGGAUUGUUUGUUAUAUAACGUGGUUAUUUUGGAGGAAGUGCAUCAGGUAAAGGGGAUGCGGCUAAAGCCUUGAUCAGGUGAAGCUUUGUUGUGUCUAAAAUGGCUGGUGUUGAAGCUGCUGCAUCAGGUUCAGGUGUCUAUUAACUUGUCUCUUGAAGAUUUGGUGCUUUCACCCGGAGUUUGUUAACCCUUUAAGCGAUGAUAUGUGUAAUUGGACUCUAUUAACUUGUCAUAUGUUGUUCUUGAGAAAGUGUUGCAUAUUAUUUUUUGUUCUUUUAUAUAACUUUUUAACUGUUUUUAUUUGCUCCAUUGCACGAAAAAAGCACACACAUAGCGGAUGUUGGUUCUGGUGUACUCUCUUGUCAUGACUAUUUAGCUGACAUGCUAUUACAGUAGUAGAUCUAGAGCUUCCACUUGGGAAGAAAUCUGAAAGUGCAUCGGAAAGCAGAACUGCAUCUAGAGAGGAAACGAUGAUGUACAAGGCACAAAUUGUCAAUGGCUAUAAGCAAAUUUACAGAUUUUACGUAGUUAAGUUGGGGUGGAUGAUGGGAGCUGCUGGUGUUUUUUUCCAACUCCACUAGGAUGACACCGUUCAACAUGGAAGGAGCGAUGUCCAUAUCAUGGGGUUUUAAUCUCAAAACAUGCUGAUCCUCCACAAUAAACAGACCAAACCUUUUUUCAUCAGUAGAGUUGUCGAAGGGACAGGACUAGUAUCAAGUCAUAUGUCAAAAUACCAUCACCUGAAAUCUGCAGAAACGUUAUAAUCUGAGCACCCAUUGUAGGUGUUCCUAAGCUAACCGUGAUGAGCUGGAAACCGUCUGUGAGGAUUUCAGCAACAUAAUUGAAACUCAUGAUUCCGUCACUGUCUACAAAGGCAAGGGUAAUACUGGUUCCCGUUGUAUCGUGGAGGCUAAUCACUUUUUUCCGGAACUGCCAGACAAGGAUCUGCAUCAAUAUGAUGUUUGAGUGAUUGGACUUUUCUGCAGAACUCCUCAGAAAAAUAGCAGAAGUGAGUUACUUAGACGAGUUGCUGCAUGUGGUGGUGCAUUAAUUAAAAGGCCUGGAUGGCACAAAAGUUCAUCUUCCAGGAACAAACCUAAACGACAUAGAUUUGAUUAUGUACUUUAUAGGCUUUGAUUAUGUACUUGAUAUUUAGAUUAGAUGGAUGUGUAGUAGUUGAUCGAUAUUGUAUUUGAUGGAUGUGUAGUCGGUGAAAUUAGAAUUUGAUGGAUGUAUGUACAAUUGGUUUAUAUAUGCAUUAAUAAGAUUUUGUUGUU